rnacentral:rRNA from 1 species
UACGUAGGGUGCGAGCGUUGUCCGGAAUUAUUGGGCGUAAAGAGCUUGUAGGCGGUCUGUCGCGUCUGCUGUGAAAAUCCGGGGCUCAACCCCGGACUUGCAGUGGGUACGGGCAGACUAGAGUGUGGUAGGGGAGACUGGAAUUCCUGGUGUAGCGGUGAAAUGCGCAGAUAUCAGGAGGAACACCGAUGGCGAAGGCAGGUCUCUGGGCCACUACUGACGCUGAGAAGCGAAAGCAUGGGGAGCGAACGGG